rnacentral:misc_RNA from 1 species
UACAAUCCCUAAAAUGUCGAAUUUCUCACAAAACAAAAAUUUUCAAAUUGCUAAUUACUUCCCAUUCCAAUCAUCAAAUGGCCGAGGAAGAGAACACAGAAGGGGCGAUCCGGCCCCAAUUUCCAACUGGAAGGGUCAAGAGAAUCGUGAAACUGGACAAAGACAUCAACAAAAUCAACUCAGACGCUUUAUUACUGGUUUCCCGAUCCACCGAGCUAUUUCUAAAAUUCCUCGCAGAGAAGUCGGCAGAAGUUGCAAUCGAGAAGAAGCGAAAGAUCGUGAAACUCGAUCACAUCCGAGUUGCCGUUAAGAGGCAUCAGCCAACCGGUGAUUUUCUUCUUGACUCGCUUCCCGUGACAACUCAGUUAUCCGAUAAACCACCAGCA